CCCUUAGAUGUUCUGGGCUGCACGCGCGCUACACUGAUACUUUCAGCGAGUCCACCACCUUGCCUGGGAGGGUGGGGUAACCUCUGGAAAGUGCAUCGUGAUGGGGAUCGAUUAUUGUAAUUAUUAAUCUUCAACGAGGAAUUCCUAGUAAGCAUGUGUCAUCAGCCCGUGCUGAUUACGUCCCUGCCCUUUGUACACACCGCCCGUCGCUCCUACCGAUUGAGUGAUCCGGUGAGGCUUUGGGAUCUGAGCGGAAAGAGCGUUUCGCUGUUUCUGCUCGGAAAACUCAGUCGAACCUUAUCAUUUAGAGGAAGGAGAAGUCGUAACA
rnacentral:rRNA from 1 species